rnacentral:rRNA from 1 species
UACGUAGGGUGCAAGCGUUUGUCCGGAAUUAUUGGGCGUAAAGAGCUCGUAGGCGGCUUGGUAAGUCGGGUGUGAAACCUCCAGGCUCAACCUGGAGACGCCACUCGAUACUGCCAUGGCUAGAGUCCGGUAGGGGCCCACGGAAUUCCUGGUGUAGCGGUGAAAUGACGCAGAUAUCAGGAGGAACACCGGUGGCGAAGGCGGUGGGCUGGGCCGGAACUGACGCUGAGGAGCGAAAGCGUGGGGAGCGAACAGG